UACAGAGGUCUCAAGCGUUGUUCGGAUUCAUUGGGCGUAAAGGGUGCGUAGGUGGUGCUGUAAGUCAGGUGUGAAAUCCCGGGGCUCAACCCCGGAACUGCACUUGAUACUGCCUUGCUCGAGUACUGGAGAGGAGAUUGGAAUUUACGGUGUAGCAGUGAAAUGCGUAGAUAUCGUAAGGAAGACCAGUGGCGAAGGCGGGUCUCUGGACAGUUCCUGACACUGAGGCACGAAGGCCAGGGGAGCAAACGGG
rnacentral:rRNA from 1 species